rnacentral:misc_RNA from 1 species
CAAGGUUUCCGUAGGUGAACCUGCGGAAGGAUCAUUGUCGAAGCCUAGAAAGCAUGACCGUGGACAAGUUGUUAAUCGUGGAUGCACUUGGAUCCUUCGGGAACUCCAUUUGCCUUCCCCUCGGUCGGUUAUGAGCCUUGCGCCCAUUGCUGAUCGAAACGAAUGAACCCCGGCGCGGAUCGCGCCAAGGAAUCGAAACUGAAAGAGCUUGGCUCGGUGGCUCGUUCUCGGGCUGCCAGGGCCAUAGGUCUAUUCAAAACACC